rnacentral:rRNA from 1 species
AACGAACGCUGGCGGCAGGCUUAACACAUGCAAGUCGAGCGGCAGCGCGGGGGCAACCCUGGCGGCGAGCGGCGAACGGGUGAGUAAUACAUGGGAAUCUGCCUGGUAGUGGGGGAUAACUCUGGGAAACUAGAGGUAAUACCGCAUACGUCCUACGGGAGAAAGGGGGGGAUCUUCGGACCUCUCGCUAUCAGAGGAGCCCAUGUCCGAUUAGCUAGUUGGUGAGGUAAAGGCUCACCAAGGCGACGAUCGGUAACUGGUCUGAGAGGAUGGUCAGUCACACUGGAACUGAGACACGGUCCAGACUCCUACGGGAGGCAGCAGUGGGGAAUAUUGGACAAUGGGGGCAACCCUGAUCCAGCCAUGCCGCGUGUGUGAUGAAGGCCUUAGGGUUGUAAAGCUCUUUUGCCAGGGAGAUGAUGACUGUACCUGGAGAAUAAGCCCCGGCUAACUUCGUGCCAGCAGCCGCGGUAAU